rnacentral:rRNA from 1 species
GAGAUGGAUUGGUGCCUUCGGGAACUCUGACACAGGUGCUGGCAUGGCUGUCGUCAGCUCGUGCGUGAGAUGUUGGGUUAAGUCCCGUAACGAGCGCAACCCUUGUCCUAGUUACCAGCACGUUAUGGUGGGCACUCUAAGGAGACUGCCGGUGACAAACCGGAGGAAGGUGGGGAUGACGUCAAGUCAUCAUGGCCCUUACGGCCUGGGCUACACACGUGCUACAAUGGUCGGUACAAAGGGUUGCCAAGCCGCGAGGUGGAGCUAAUCCCAUAAAACCGAUCGUAGUCCGGAUCGCAGUCUGCAACUCGACUGCGUGAAGUCGGAAUCGCUAGUAAUCGUGAAUCAGAAUGUCACGGUGAAUACGUUCCCGGGCCUU